ensembl:lncRNA
CAAAAAUUGUGGACAGAGGAAGAAAAAUAAUUAAAAAGCUCCAUUCUCUUUGCAGAAGGUCAGAACAGGACUUCUAAUUAAGUAAAGAAUGACCAGGCAAUACUCUUUGAAAAUUGGAGACCAUUUGCAGCUGCUCUCUGCUGAGGAAAGUGAAUAAUAGGGUGCCCUCAAGGAAUUUCAAAGAGAACAACAGGAUGAGAUGACAGCUUUUCUCAUGGCCCUGUUAAUAGUUUUUGCUAACAAGGAAAGGGGAAGGGAAUAAUUCUUUGCAAUAAUAUUGACUUCUUCUGUGAUCUCGGGAAACUUCAGAAGCCAGAGAUUUUGAGCUUCAGACUAAACCAAGGCAAAUUCCAGCAACAUAAGGCACUAUGCAAAACUCAUUGAAGAUUAAUUGAUUUGGAGGAGAAGGCAACAGAGAGGUGAUUGAAAGGAACUCAGCAAAAGAACUUCCCAUUUUCUAGUAAAGGAAAUAGUAUUCUGGAGUAUCCUAUGUCUUUACAGAUUACAUCAUCUGGAUAUGUCCUAGAGACCAGCUUGUGGUACAGAUGCUGUAGAAUACUGCCCUUCCUUCAGACCCAUGACUGUAAAAAUAGAUGCAAUAUACAAACGUGGAUUUCUGCAGCGCAAGCUGAGGAGACAAAAUCCCUUUUUGGCCGAUAUAGAAUCUCAGCAUUAGGGCUGGUUUGUGCUUCUGUUAAUUCCUGAUACUUUGCACUGGUCUUUAGUACGCAUUUGGUUAUCUGGUAAUAUUUUCCCUGGCACAAAAACACUGAUCAUCUUUCUAAUGGGGAGCAUAGUAAUUUGAAGCAUAUUCAUGUUUGUGCUAAAAGACCACAGUCUCAAAGGAUAAUCCAAAAGAUUGUUACGUGAUAGAUUAUGCGUGACAGGAUUUAGGAAAAUGUCACAUAUCAGACACACAGGCCAACAGUAUAUAACAGGACUGCUGCCUCUGGCAGCUUGAUUCUAGCAGAUUUCUAAUCAUGUGUAUUUCAAGAUGAUAAGAGGCAUGCAAGAAAUCUUUUACAGCUUUUGAGGAGUACUCCAGACCAAAAUGAAGGGCAUACUUGGUUGUAUACAAUAUUGAGGAAAUUUUUGUACCAGCAAUAUUAAAUUUCACUGUGAUAACCCUUUUAUUUUUCAGAUACUGAGCAAACUGAAUUGUUUCAGUUUGGUUUUUGGAGUUUUAACAAAUUAGGUCUCACUGUUUCCUUUUCCUUUUUUCCCCCUCUCUGCUAACACACAGUUCUACAACUAUACUUUUGCAACCAGCACGUUUAUGCUUCCAAUAUUUAUUCUUCUUUCCUUCAUAACCCAUUGGCAGAAUACACAGUUCCUGGGAUCUGUUGGAGAUUAGAUUGUCUCUCCUUCAAGGUAUUGCUAGGAAAAACAAAUGCUGAGAAAAUCUUCCCCACUUAAAACUGAUGAUUCAUGCUGCUGUUUCUUCUCAUUUUCUUUGUUUUGUCUCUUGAUGCCAAACGUAUACCACACAGCAGAAGGAAGGGGGAGGACGAAAGAAAGAGGAGAAAUCUUGAUCUGCAUGGAAAGUCGUCUCUUAAACUCAUCUUCUUAAAAGAACAGAAACAUUCAACAGCUUCUUGCUCUGACAAUCAUACAAAUGCUUCCAAAUAUCUGCCAGAAGAAUGCUAACUUAUCUUUAUUUUUUUCUUUCCUUCUCCACUCUUUUUUUUUAUCAUUAUUAUUCAAACACAGCCUUGCAGGCAAGCUCAGAGAUUGCAGAAUUACAUAUGAGCUCUUAGGGCUUGGCCCAUGAGCAGCCUCUUUGCCCAAACUUGCUAGUGAUUUGAACUGGUUAACUCAGCUCUCAAAGAAAGAUAUAGAUGCUAUUGUAGCGUGAUUAUUUACUGCAAAACCUUUAGCCUGGAUUCCUUCCAUUUUGUGGCUUUCUGAUUUGCUGUCUAUCGGCCUAGGCCUGUCUUUGUGGAAAACAGAGCCCAAAUUUCCGCUGUGCUCGCUGACGUGUACUGCUUGUGUUAGCAGAAACAGUAUCUGCAAUUUGCUCAGUCUGAGACCCAGAACACAGAUUCUACCAGCUCAAGCUACUGGUCGAACAUGGUCAUUAUCACAUUUCUGGCAUAACUGCUAGCAGAUGCUUUAGAAACAGCAAAGGCAAACAACCUAAUGCAUCUGGCCAAACGGGAAGUAGCACCAAAUAGGAAGGAAAAUUAUUUUCUGAUAUGUCUUUUGAUCAAUGUGUGAUUUGAAAGAAACAACGAAAUUGUCUUGUGCUUAAGAAUAGUUACAUCUAUGCAUUUCGUGGAGGCCUUUGAUGUAUUUUUCUGGAAGAUAAAAAUCAUCAGAUAAUCAGAAAGAGAUAUACUUCCGAAAUGGAACACAAGAUAUAGUGACUUCUUUAAAAUUCACUUCAGUGCCUUAUGAGAUUCAAUGGGAAAAAAAAAAUGUAUUAGAAAACAUCUGAAUUUAAAAAAAAUCACUGAUUAAAAAAAUAAAAAAGAAAAAAAAGAAAGGAAAGAAUUCAAACAUAUUUGUCAUUUUGCUACUGUAGUUUGUGGUGAGAGGCUGAAUUUCGUCAUACAUUGCCACAUGAUGUUUCAAAAACGUAGCUGUAAGUACCAGGCAAGCAUGUGAUCAAUUCAGUUGACCCACAUGCCAUAGCACAUGAAUGGCUGCUCUGUUUUCCGUGGGUCUUCAGAUCAGGACUGGAUGCAUUGACCAACUGACUGUCCGCUUGUGCUGUUCUCUUUGGUCCUGCUGUGCUUCUUUUACUCCCUCCCCCCUCAGCCUGUAUUCCUUCCUCAGAUCUUUGUUUAGGAUGGAAUUAAUACGAAGCUGCUCUUUGUCCCAUAAACCAAGCUGUCUGGGUUUCUUGACUGGCUUCUUGUUAUAUGGCAGUUUUAAUUAGACCAUGUACACUUGGGGACUAAAAUAUACCAGGUCCCCUGUGAGACAAUUGAGCAACAUUUUUUCUGCAGUUUAUUUGGGUAGGUCCAAGGAAAUGAGAUUAGUUUUUUGCUGUAUUGAACUAACUUGGAAAUACAGGAUUAUACUACUAUUCACUAAGUAGUUUAAGCAUGCUCAAAAGCACAGGCUUCAGUAUCUCUAUCACUCAUGUACCUCACUCUCAAUAGAGAAGGACCACUUGGAAGAGCAAAGGAUCUAAUUCAUCCUUUGUAGUCAGUACAGUUUUGCUAAAUUUUCUUCCUUAGUAUUUUUCUUAGUGUGUUACAGCUUGUCUACCUACUGCAGUUUCUCAACCUUUUCCCCUAUGUGAUCCUGUGAACAGCAGGAAUAUAGUAACAACGUUGAGCUGUAUUAUGGACCUGGGUUUGAUUGUAAGGGGUGACCUGGGCAGAAAGGUCCUUCAGCUUUUCAUUGUGCAUAAAGUCAUGAUCUUGAUGGUCAAACAUGUCUUUAGGGACAAGAAACUAACAGAAAGUAUGAUGGCACUUAUAGGCAGAACAAAGUCUUCAUAUUCUCUUCACUAAUAAAGUAAAAUGCUCAUUUACUCAUGGCUUUAUGCACAAAGAAGUGUCUAUAGAAAGGUAAUAUGUUUCCUUUGGUCAAUAUUUCCGAAAAUAUUGGCCUUACUUCUGUUGUUCCAAAUAGAAAUUAUAUAUAAGCCAUAUAAGUCUUACGCUGCUCAUAUCCUUAGGCUUUACAGACACAAUAGUAAUGCUACCCAUAAUGUAAUGCAACACAAGGAUAUAUAUUCUGGUAAAUCAAAGACAGUAGCCCAGUACAAAUGAAGUAAGAGUUGGAUCUGUUGCUAGAGAGGAGAUUUCAUCAGAUCUUCAGGGAGCUUUGCACUGUAUAUUAUUCUAUGUCUACACAGAGAGUGUUGACGCCUGCUAUGUAGGCAUCCUUGAGAGUUCCUCCACUCAAGAGAACAGGAAAGGUGCUCUUCCCUGAGAAAAAAAGGCACUAAACCAUAAAGUUUGUUCUGUUAUUCAAGCUGUUUGUAGGCAGAAUUGAGAAACUGGUAAUGGAUAAUACUUACAGACCAAUUUUGGCAUUUUUUCAUAAACAAAUUAUAUAUCUGAAAUUGCUGUCAGUACUCUGCCAGCUGUAUGUAGAGGGGAUGCUGUAUCAACACAAAGAACACCAUGUACUGUUACAAUCUGACUCAGCAGGCAGAAACAUGUUUCAGGGUGCCCAAUUCAUUUGUGGAGUCAAUAUACCUCCCUUCUUUAAAAUGAAAAAAAGAGCUACUAAAAAUAAAGGAAGCUGCAUUAAACAGAUUAAUUUUUAUUUAUAAUUUUGCCUCAAGAAUGUAAGAAUAAGUCAACUCUUCCACGAUACUGGAACAUAUGAAAAGGUUUGGAUUCUCUCUCAUCCCUCUCACGCUAGCCUGACUAGGAAGCUAAAUAUGUACAUUCUUUGAGGGAAGAUUGCUUACUCAAUCCUUUGCUACUAUAAUAUUGUCAGUGUUAUAAAAUGAAAACAAAAACUAGAGAGCAAGGUUUUUUACUCAGGCUAAACUCGAUCUUAUAAACUCAGUGGCAGAACUUCCACCAACACUGAAUGCCUCAGGACUUCUGCUCUGAGUUUUCACUCAAGCAGAAUUGUCGCUGAAACUCAAAAUUUGCCAGGGGACAGACUUAGGAUGAUUCAGAGACCAUCCCUGAACUAGGAAGGUUGCUACCCAAGCAUGUAGCAGCUCACCUGUGACUGUUUUGCACAAAUUGAUGAAAUGUAACUGUUAUAAUAUGUCCAUGCAUUUCUUAUGUACCUGUGACCCUGUGGGUCAAGUAUUAAAUGCCAUAUGAACUACAGCUAUAAACAGAGCAGAAAGUGUCCUUAGGAGAAACACUCUUUUCCUUCCCUUAUUCCCAGCUGACUGCAUGUAGGAUUUGUGGUUUUGUUUUGUUUUUCCUGGAUAGCUGAUAGUUUUCUUGACUAGAAUGGAAGGGAACAGCCAUUCCCCCUCCCUCACCUUGACCUUGCUUUGUGCUGAUUUCCUGUCUGUGUGCUCACACUGAUUUCAAUAAAACAGUAUAGACAGUUCAGCACCAUUAGAAGGAGACUUCUCCAUGGAUCAACCCCAAUGUAACAUGAAGUUGGUCAGACAGAGUUUGUAUCAUAAACACACAUCUGUUUUCCUAUGAUCUCCCUAACCCCAGCCCCCACCCUCCAGCUUGCUCUGUUCAUAAAGCAUGGUUUAUGAAUUUGCUUGUUAAAAAUAUGGUCUGCUUUUGCAGUGCACCAGUUUACUUUCUGAUUCAUAUAGAAAAUAUGUUGUGACAGUGCAAUAUGUACUCAAGGUUAUUCUUACUGGUAGUAAAAAGCAGAUUAUCUCCGAAAACAUAUGGAGUCCUGCACAUAUGCACAUCUUCUGCAGAACUGGAGGAGGCAAGUGAAAGCAAAUGCAGUCAGAUGAAGAGUAGCUGCAAGUUGUUUCUAAACCAUGCACAACCAGCAAUAAUGCAGCUAGGCCAAAACAGAGAAACACUGGAAGGAAAGACCAAAAAACCCCAACAAAUAAAAUGACCAUUACUACAGUGUAUGCUGGCUCAUACUUGGUAUCUUGUCUCAGCUACAAUUCUACUAUAUGCUGAAAGAUUCAAGAGUAUGUGACAUAGAGGAGCCUACGUCACACCCAAUAAUGAAAUGAACGAGGAAAAAAGUACGGAAAGAUUCAAAGUGUUUAGUCUAACUCAAGGAAUAUAUGUGUAAAUUAGAACUUCAGCCUAGCAGACAGAGUGAGGUAGGCAAAGAACCACAGAACUGUUUUCUAACAUGCAACAUAACCCCCAUUUCACUAGAUGGUGAGGUAAAGGAAGAUGCCUUGCAUGGAAUCAUCUUGCACAGACCCCCGGGCUCUUUCUAGUUAUUUUUCUUGGAUGGAUGUCAUUUGGGGGGUUUUUCUGCUUUAUAGAUAGAAGGUGAGAUGACAAAUGGCCUUGCGGGGGGUGGAGAAGGGCUGUCAGUUACACUGAAAAUUUAGAGUCUUGAGAAUUAGUGAUUCGGGAAUCAUAAUAGAGAAGAUAAAAUAGUGGUGACGAGAGUCCAGGGGAUGUCCCCAAAACAGGAAUUUGGUGAGUGAUCUCUUUCUUUCCAGCAAAAGUAUUAAAGAUGCCUUUUAUGAAGCACUCUGUAGAAGAACACGGCCAUGCUAUCAAAUGAACAUAAAGAAAUGUGUGUGCUGUACAGAAGUACUGUCUUAAGUGAGAGUCUGGGAAGCCUCUCCUGAAGCUGUUAACAGUUUUAGAAAUUGCAGAUGGGUGUGAAGCCAGAAAUGCUAUCCUUACUGCUUUAAGUGAGAAAGAGCAAGACUGUAUGAAUGCAGUCACUUGCAAGGUUGAGCCAGAGUUAUCUAGUGUCUGCAGGACAGGUCUUUCCAUCACUGCAACAGAUCAGAGAAUAGAUGUUGGGGUACCAGUACCUGUACCUAAUAUUCCUACAGACUUUCUGAAGGAUUAGCAGGACAAGCUCAUGCCUGGGCCAAAGUCCAGCAUAGCAAAUUACUGCUUCUCAACAGGCUCUGAAUCAGUAUAGACCCUUGCACUUCUGCAAGAGUGCGCCAAGGUACCAGCAAACUCACAGCUAAUGCUGGGACUGUAACUUCAGUAUCUGCAGUGGUUGUGAAAUGGAAUUGGAGGGAACCCUUGCUAAACUCUCAAGACAGUGGCCUGGAGGCAAGCUGCCCUACUGAUCCUUUAUUUGAAACAGGGCCAGUGCUACCCUGCUCUCCGCUGGGACGGCAGAUCCAUUAAAGUGCUUGUGGUGCUCUGCUUCUGAGAUGCUGGGAACAACAGAGAAGUUAAUAAAUAAACACAAUUAAAAAACAAAUCAGGUCUCUCAUGAAUGCAUUGUCUUCUCUCUUUGCUCAAAUUCUUUACAUUCCAAAAUCAUAUUGGAAAAUGGGAGGCAAAUGCACAAUAAAAGCUGUCAGCUGCUUUUUGAGCCAUGUUGUUUCCAUUUCUACGGCUGUUUGAAAAGUGCAUGAAUGCAAAGCACUUUUAAACACUCUAAAAAUCAAUACAGAAGAAACAAUAGAAGCACAUUUAUUCUUGUUUUAUUCAAUGUCAGUAUUGCUGAGUUUUGCUUGACCAGAUGUUGCAGGGUUUCAAAGCUGUUCAACCAUAGCUGUUAACAAAACGGUCCUUCUUUCACUAAAAAAUAAAACAAAACAAACAAACAAAAAAACAUAUUUAUUUUAGAAAAUGUCUUUAGCUUCUUUUCUUAAUGAAAUAAAUAUACGAUUCCUCCAUUACUAAUAUUAAUCCUCAUUGCGUCCUCUGAGAGUAAGUCACAAGGCUUUUUACGUGUGCUGUUUGCACAGUAUUUGCACAAUCAUUUACAAUUCUGAAGGCCUAGUUUUAACUCAGUCACACUGCAACGUCAGGGUUUGUUGUUUCGUGUGUGUUUGUCUGUGUUGGUGUUUAUUUAUUUAUUUUAAUUUAAAGAACACACGCUCAAGAUAAGUAACGAUUUUUCAAAUACAGGCUGGAAAAGCUUAAGUCUUUCCUCUCUGUGUGGUAGUUUCCCUUCUCUUUCUUUUCCCGGACAGAACUGACAAGCAGGCAUUGUCCCUCCAGUGAGCUCUGCAGUAUUACUUUGACCCUAACCCAUCAAUCUGCCUCAAUUGGAUAAUGAUCUGUAAUCACUUUCUUUCAGGGGAGUCUAUAAAUUUGCCAAGGCCCCAUUCUUCUCUGAAGGCCUCCUUAUGUUCACUCCCAUUUGUGCAAAUGCUCUCUCUUUUACAGCACUAAAUAGCCAUGCACAUGGCCCUUUCUGUUCAGAGGCACCAGGCUGCUCGCUGUUGAUUUUCCAUGGCUCUUCCCUCUAAAAGGAGGCGAAGCCCUACAUGCCGGGGCUCGGCGGGGUGCAGGACGAAGCCACACCACUUCAAGAGCAGCCGCUUUUCUCAUUAAGACUGACCCAUCAUUAGGUCGCUUUGUGCCGGCCCUUGUAAUCGAUGAGAGGACUGUGUAGUGUGAAAAAGCUAAUAAAGACGAGCGUGAGGUGGUAGGAGGGGGGCAGAGGCUCUAAGUCCUGUUAGCAGGGAAGCCCUCCCUCCCCACAGCUCAGGCGCAUCAGGAAAGGGGAAGGCUCGGGUUAGCGAACGGGCUGCAGAUCCCUCCGAGUCAUUUCUUCGAUUAUCUCGCGCUUAAUACCCUGAGCAGCCUUGUGCUGUCCUCUUUAUUGGGCCUAAGGAGUGGAAUAAGCGUGAAAGGAAGAUCAUAUCCUUCUUCCUCAGCCGCCUUCCUUCUGAUUAAAGGAGAUCAAAGGCUGAGGAGCAUCUAGCUGCUUCUGUGUGCAGCACAAGGGGAAGCUGGCGUGUGUGUGUGGAGGUUUUCUUUCCUGCCCACUGAAAAAAGGCUGAGAAAAUGGCAGAAAAGCUAGGAGAAGGGGACAGGUGUGAAGGCUGCUCUUGUGUCUGGCGAAGGACCAAGCACACUUUGUGUCAUGUUGCAUACACUGCAAGAACUGCAGAGAAAAAGAGGGAACAAGUGAGGAAACAAGUAAGCACUCAUGAAUGUGCAGUGUUGAGCGACUCCUUCUGUAUGUACUGCAGAGAAAGCCAGACGUCUCUGGAAGCGUUGUGCACAUGGAAAUCACCAAAGAAAAGAAAAGAAAAAGAAAAGAGAGAAGAGAAGAGAAGAGAAGAGAAGAGAAGAGAAGAGAAGAGAAGAGAAGAGAAGAGAAGAGAAGAGAAGAGAAGAGAAGAGAAGAGAAGAGAAGAGAAGAAGAAAAGAAAAGAAAAGAAAAGAAAAGAAAAGAAAAGAAAAGAAAAGAAAAGAAAAGAAAAGAAAAGAAAAGAAAAGAAAAGAAAAGAAAAGAAAAGAAAAGAAAAGAAAAGAAAAGAAAAGAAGCAGCAGGAAUCUGCCGAUAUGACAAAGAGGCAUGGAGAAAUGAAAGGAUCUUCUUGCUUGGGGGAGGAGGAAUGGUGUCUGCAACACUGUGUACACUGGUGAGAAAACAUAUGUAGAGUGAGGUUGCAAAGGAAUGGCGUCAGAUGUUGUACAAAUGUAUGCUCAGUACAAGACAAUUUCUCCCAGACAAGUGGUCUGUAGAGCCUGUACUGCUCUUCAGAGUAAUGCUGCUCAUUCCUUCCCUUGUAGUCCAGUUUAUUUUGCAUAGCUGCAUGGACAGGAAGCACACACAACACCUCAUCUUCACUCCACUGUGUCUCUCCCUUUCUUCUUUUCCCACUAACAAAGAGGUAGAAAUAAAGAAAUAUACUCAUUUCCAUAGCCCGAGAACACAAAACUCCAUCUUUUGUGUCCAAAGUGUAAAGAGGUGUGGUCACCACUUGCACUUUCUUUCACCAUUUGUCACUGAAAUGAAUUUUGGUGAACAGCUCAGAAGUUUUUAAUAUCAAGCUUAGAUUUUUCUCAGCCGUGUGCAUAAGGACAAGAUCAUAAACUCCUAAGUUAGUGUCAGCGCUUCACUACAGCUAGGUCUGCUCCAUACUGUUACACUACUAACGCUGUGCACUGUAGUGUGCCUCAUGUUCCUAGUGACUGCAGAAAGCCUCGAAGCAGAAGGGAGCUGUUAAAGCUGUUGGUGUGCCUAAUCAGCACAUUGCUCUUCUGCUGUUUUUUGUUCAUGGUCAUCAUUCUUUACUGAGUGGAUAAUACCUCUGUCUUUCAGUAAACACCUUCCUCCCACCCAUAAUGCAUCAUUUGGUCCUUUACUCCAGCCAAGGGAUACGAAUACAGUCUCUGCCGGUGCCAGAAUUUUAGAAUAGACUGUUGUGUUGUGAAUAGACCGUUCCUAAGAAGUGUGGAAAUAUCAUCUGAGUUGAGAACUGUAUGGGAAUUGUGGUUUUUGCUUGCUGAAGUUUCUAAUUCUAAGAGUUGCAUAACAGAGGUACCCACUUCAAAACAAAAGCUGCUUGAUGCAGUAUUUCUGCUAGCCUUCUGCAUCAGCUGUGUCAUUCACUGUGUUUCACAUGAGAUUUUGUGUUGCUGUCAAAGAGAAGCUGCACAGAUUUACUUGAUUUGAAACAGGGAUGCCUGGCAAGUUGUUUUGGACGGCAGGAAAGCGUGUUGGCAUUUGUCUUAUUUUCAUUUUACUCAAGAUUCCAAAUGAUAACCAUCUCAAAGGUAAUUUGUUUCCAUUUUGUUAAAAAUUCCAUUGGAAAGUUGCUUUAUAUUGUAAAUUACUAAACACUUAAUUGAUAUCAUGUAAUAAAAAGAAUCAAAACCCCUCUGGUCCCUCUCAGGAGCUUGAGUUAACUCCGGUGGAGCCAGCUCUGUUGCCAUUUCCAAGUUCUUCUGUAGCGUUCUAGCAAUUCAUCAGUGUCAACGACACAUGGGAACUCUCAUGUUUGUAAAAGCCUGCAAGGGAUCCAUGUCCUACAUUUCAACAAAAAUCACAAAAUCACAUUUCAAGGUGGUCAAAGUUAGAGAAACAUCAGGCGAAUAAUUGCUAGCCCUUUUCUGAAGUGGAUAGUAAAACAUGGAGAAACAUGCAGACACAAGAGGCUAGUGGCUGCAACAGAAAGGAGAUUGUUCCUUUGAAGUGCCUAGAAAAUUGGAAAUGAAACAUAUUGUCAGGAUUCCAGAAGCCUUUGGCUACUGAAGGAGGAGGAGUACGAGAAUGUAAACAGACAAAUAUGUUGGUACGUACGUGUCACAGAAAUCAUAGUGGUGCAGUAAUACAGGGAAUGUUGGAAGAUCUUCUGUGAUUCAUUGCUUUAUCUUCACUGGCCUGCAUCACGGUGAUUUUUCUCCACCCUCUGUACAUGUUCCUGCUUGAUUGUUUAUGUUCUUACCUGAGCUUUCAGUAAGACCAGGAAUGUUUAAACUUCAGUCUGCCUCAUGCCUCAGCGUAGAUGCUUAAGGACAGACCUAAUCUGGCAUGUAAAAAACAGCAUCAUAAAAUACACCAUUUCUUGCUGCUGUGCAUUAUGCUUUAUGGGUAAUUGUCUCCAUCUCCCUCCAAGAUGGACCAGUCACAAUGGGUGACUGUGAAAGUGAGCACGUAGAUUCUGUGUUACAUAGAUUCUCAGCAUUUUACUUUGUCUUUUAGAGCUACCUAGACUUUAUAAUACUGGAGUAGGUGGUCUGGUAUUUCUAUAUGUCAUAGCUGCUAAGAUGGUUCAUGCAAGUUUUCUUUUUCCAGAAUUCACUGUCUUCUCUGUCUUGGGAUGGUCAUCAGACAGUCGGGUUUUGUGUAGAAAGUUCAGACUCACACUGUUAUGUUGUCUGUUAACUUACUGGUAAAGUUGGUAGUCCAGAGGAAAAUAAUUAAAGGGUGUGAAAUCCUUACAGUUUAGAGAAGACUGGAUACAUCACUUAUACACCUGAAGUUAUUUUACUUAUUACUGUGUCUUUAAUACUUGCACAGCUAUACAUGUUGACAUCUUUCAGGACACAAAGAACAUAGGUAAUAAUCAUUUGCAAUCAAAAUACAGAGAAUAAUGAGACAAUUCCUCCUUCAUGUCAUCAGUGUGAUCAGUGAUAUUAUAUUGAUCCUUUGGCUGAAAUUUUAGUUGGCAAUGUGCUAAUGAUCUUUCUAGAAUACUGCUACUUUCUGAUUUAUCCUUGGCUUCAUUCAUGUAGCAAUAGUAAAAAAUCCUGAAAUUGUCACUCAGAUGCAAAGAUAAAUUUCAAAUGCCCAGCAAUUGAUUAAGUUGAAUAACUGCUACAGUAAUCUGACAAAAUCAAUGUCAAAAAAUUAUCGUAGCAGUUGUUUGCAUUGUGGAAAACAGUGGCCUGAAUAACUAUGUGAGUAUUGGCUUUGUGUGAUCUUGAGUGUUCAACAAUAUUAACAGCAAUCUUCCAAUUUUCUUAAUUCCUAAUAUUGCAAACCUGGUUUCUGUUUGUAACAGCUCGUAUUUCUGCUUUUUGACUGUUCUUGAAGUGUGUGCAUGUGUAAUCCACUCUUACAUCAGGGAUUUCUACUCAUGCUGUUAUUUGUAGACAAAUCUCACCCUGAAGAAAUGUCAUGCCUCAUGUGUACGUUUGAAGAAAUGUAUAUGUCUCUUCACACUAUAUAAAUGUCAACUGCUGGUCAUUAUUUCUUUUUUAAUAUUUAUUGGUAUUUUAAUACAGACCUAACGCUAAGGCAAAUUCUCAUGUUUAUGUUAAUGUGUCUAUUAAUUGCAGCACCAAUGGCAAAUUUACUUGAACCUGACAUCACUGGUUACAAUGGGUCAAAGAUAUCCAAAGUCCAGGGGUGCUCCCUUAUUCUCAAGUCUCAGAAUAAAUUACUGAAGGUGACUUCUUUUUCUCCCAAAGUUGUCAUCUCCUGGUCUAAUAGUCUCAGUUAAUAAAAUGCUGUGUUCUGAAAUCUACCUAAUUCCCACCAGGAGUUGUGUGAUGCUGUUUUCUUUUUAACUGACUAAUUAUUAUUAUUGUAGACAUUUUAUUUACUCCAAAGUGGUUUGGGGAUAAUUGAUUAGGUUGCACCAUGUCAUGAAAGAACAGAUGGCAGGCUAGUCUGUCAGCUCAUCCACAGCAUAUGAGAAUGCUAGGAAAAUUAAAGGGUUGGGAGAAAAACAGAAAAAAAAAAAACCCAAAAAACAAGAAAAAAUAAGAAGGUGAAUGGGAGGGGAGAGGAACGAGCAAAGCUGUGCUUGCAACACAAAACCUUCUUGUAGUGGGUGGUCCUUUGGGAAGGUAAUCAGAGAUCUGCAAUAUGUCCACUACAAUCAACAAAAGGGUACAAUACUUCUCUGCAGGGAAUUGGGUAGGGAAAAACUUGUUUAAAUAAAAUUGCAG